rnacentral:lncRNA from 1 species
CUAUUUGCAGUUUGCAUUUUGGCCAUUGAGAUUGGUGAUUGAAAUUUUCUGUUAAAUUAAUAGCUCCAUCUGAAUCUCCAAAUGAUAACUUGGAGAGACACAUGUACCAUAAUGAACUUCAUCACAACUGAGUACUUCCAGGGCAGUUCAUCCAGAUGCUUACCUUCCAAAAGAUUGUGUAGUUUUAAAAAAUGUCAUUAAUAUCUCUGUAUUUAGGAUUUUUAGCAGGGAUUGAGGCGUGGCAUUUGAUUUUAAACAUUGACCUCUACUAGGAUUAUGGCAUUUACUUGCUUUUGGCUGUUGCAGGUGUGAUAUCUAGACACAAAACUAGAGGGAUAAGAAAUCAACAGGAUUACUAUUCGACCUUUCACAAGACACCUUCACGAAAGAAGUUCUCGAAGAAGGAUUGGGAGGAUUUCACACGGGAAUCAACUAGACAGGCCAUGGGAGACAUGGUAUCCUCUCCAGAGUUCACUGAUUGGAUUGUUGAGCAUGCUGACCGAAUACAAGUCCUUCCUGACGACAGUUCAGACGAAACCAUUGGAAGCGGGUCGGAUUCUACGGAGGAGACUGCUGUAUUGAGUGGCAAUCGGCCUGGUUUAUUCAAGUGGCAGCGAGUUUAGUAUAACACAUUCAGGGCGCUGCAUCCUUUCAUGGAAACAUCCUUAGGCUGUGGAUCCUCCAUAUUAACAUGUAGCAUUAUGGAAACUCAAGUUCAAAUUGUGGUACAGGUUUAGGAAAUAGUGAUUUUUUUUUUCCCUAGGUUUGUUGACUAUGAGACCCCCGUCACACUGUUUUGCAUCAAACUAUAAGCCUUGUGGCAAUUUUGUGAAAAUUACAGUUAGUGCUCUCCGAAUUCUAAUUCUUAAACUAACUGUAUUCCUUGUUGCAGUUUUGUUAAAAUUGCAUUUAUAGGGUUCUGCUCUCCAAAUUUUCAUUUUCAUAAAUAACAUGCUUAAGAAUCUAAGAUGAGAAAAAGGAAAUAAGUAAAUACUUUCCAAUGUAGUUCAUUCAUAAAUACUAAUCUUAUAUUUGGUUUUUGGAAAAUUUAAAGAAAACUAUGGUUAUGUUUGGUUUUUGGAAAGUAUUAAGAAAAUAAAAAAAUAUUUUAAAAAAUGAUUUUCUCAUAUUUGGUUGUCUUACAAAAAAUUUCAAAAAAUAUAUAUAUAUAAUUAAAAUUAAUUAGAAAUUUAUGUAUUUUUAAAUUAUUUAAAUUUCAUAUUAAUGAGUUAAAUAAAUAAAAUGAGUUUGAAGUACCAAAUAAAAAUAAUUUAUUGACUUUAAUUCUAUUUUUUAUUUUUCUUCAUUUUUUUUAAUUUAUAUUUCCUCCCUAUUUUCUUCUCCUCAAAAUUUCCAAACAUAACCUAAAAGAAAUAAAUAAAUGAAAAUAAAAAUUAGAUUUAAACUUAAUAAUAUAUAUAUAUAUAUAUAUAUAUAUAUAUAUAUAUAUAUAUAUAUAUAUAUAUAUAUAUAUAUAUAUAUAUAUUAAUUUAAUUUUACUUAAUAUUUUUAAUGAAGGAUAAAUUGAUACAAUACACAGAAAUGAAACAUUAAUCUGAUCAUGCUCUUCGUCCUUGUUUUGUGACAUUACUAAAACAAAAUGGUUUUGUCAUGAAAACAUUGAACAAGAAAGAAAGAAAAAGAAAACCUAUCAAGUGCUAAAACAAAGUGAAGCAAACAUCCUUACAAAUACCGAACAAAAUAAGAAAUUAAGAAAACAAUUACAAUUAUAAUUACGAUUAAAAUUAAAAUACUUAAAAAAAUUUUAAAAUAAAAAUAAAAGAAUUGAUACCACUUUAUAUAAAAAUUAAAUAAAAAUGAAUAAAAUUAUAAUGUUUUGGUAAAAUAAGCUCAUUUCACCUACAACACCUAAGUUGAGAUUGGGCCCAAAAAAUGAGUUGGAGCCCAAUCCUUUUGUGGUCGGUUGAUAUCUUCUUGUUAAGGUUUAAAUAAAUCUUCUCUAAAUAGAAAACAAGAUAGUCUAAAUCCAUGUAUGUAAAACAAUCAACGUCAAACUGGUUUCCUUGUAUUAUCUCAAAAAUGUCCAAUAAUUUUAGUUUUAGUUGUCUGAUAAUUAAUUGUAUUAAUGACUAUAUUUAUAUAAAAAAAUAGUUUUAAUUAUUUAAUAAUUAAUUGUAUUAAUGAUUAUAUGUAUAGAAAAAAGGAAGGGGAGUAAUCCACGUUUGUUUUUUCUUAACAAACUUCAAAUAUUUGUAGAAUAUCAUUUUUUAAAAUAUUUUAUUUUAAUUAAAAAAAAUUUAAAUUUUAUUUAAAACCCAAUUUAUAAUUAAUAACAUUUUUUCAUUAAUUUUAUUCAAAAUAUAUACAUUUAAACUUAUUCAUAAAAAGACAAAUAUUAGAUAAGAUUCAAAUUGAAAAUACGAUUUAUUUAUGAUUUGGUGGACUUUUUGGAUGAAUUGGUAUGAGCACGAUUGAACUAAAUUCAAAAAGUCAUACUUGGUGGAGUGGCCAACCCAUCCAAAAUCAAUUUCCAAAAAGUCCAAAAGGAAGUUUGAAACAAAAUAAUUUGAUUUUCGUAUAAAAAGGGAAAAAGUUUUGACUUUUGGAGAACAUUGGACGAGUAGAAAGAAUUUGUUGACUCAGAUUAUAGACCUACUCAGAGAGAUGUCCUCAUAGUUGAUGCAUACCCACCCACAAAAAUCCGUUUCUUUGAACACCAUGUACCAUGUCAAAGUUUAGAUUGUGUAAAUCAUUGAGUAAUGGAUUAAUCAUACAUUGCAAAUUAACUCACAUUUUAAUUAAUCUUCUUUAACCAAAAAUGUCAUUUCUAUUGUCGAAUUUGAUUAUAAUUUAUUUUAGAGAUAACUCGGUUUAUUGUAUGGAAAUAUUGUAAGGAAAAAUGAAACUACAAAAAAUAAUACCCACACGUACUUCAUACUUUCAUGUAAUUUCUUCAAAAUAUUACAACAAAUGAUGUAAAAGGGUUUUUAAAUCGAUUCAUAUAUUUUUAUUUUCAUUUAAUUUUAUGCGAUGAAAAAUUAAGUAUGAUUAGACAAAAAGUAUAAAGUUAUUGGUAGAGUUGGUUUCAAUGAGCCACAUUUGUUUUUUUUUCUUAUGCUCUACAAUCUUCGUGUAAAUGAAGUUAGUCUUAGAGAAAAUUUCCCUAGGAAAGAUCUUCGAAUGCUAAAUUUAGUUUUUUCUUCUUGAGAAUUCUUUAUUUUAUAUCAAUAUGUAUUUAAAUUAUAGGGUUGUUAUAUUGGAAAGAGUCGAGAUAAAUAUAAAAUAAAAUGGCUAAGUUAUUAUUAUUAGUAUGCAUAUUUUAAUUUCACUGGAAAACAUGGUUUGAGCCUUAUUUCAUAUGGAAAAUGGAUUUUGCUUGGUGGGUAUAAUGUGUCUCAAUGGACAUCAUCAUAUAUUUAAGGAAUAAUGAGUGCUUGAAUUGAGCUUUAGUUGUUAAUGCCUUACCAUUAUAGAAUUGAUCACAUGUCCUUCUUUUAGAGGUAGUUAUCAAACAUGUGUUAGUAAAUGUGUUUGCUUAAUUGCAUGCCGACAGGGAGAAAUCUACCCUAUUAUGGCUUGCCAUCAUUUGCAAUUUUAAGAAAUUUGCUCUAAGGUGGUUGAAAGAUUGCUAGAAGCUAGACUUUUUAAAAGAGGUUAAGUACCUAGAUUGGCUGUCUAAUGUGGUCAGAGUGCCAAAAGAAAAAGAAUGCAAGAUGACUUAAACUCAACGAGUCAUGCUUAAAAGAUACUUAUUCUUAUGUUGACACGGUCAUGGGUUCACUAAUGGGGUUUAAGAUGCUCUAUUUUAUGGAUUUGUUCUCAAGUUAUAAUCAAAUAACUAUGUAUUAAUCGAAGGCUAUUGCUACUAAGCUAUGUUGUUUUGGUUAAAGAAUAUUUAGAGCCACUUACCAAAGACUUGUCGAUUUUGUAACUAGCGAGGAAAUAUUAUGGAAGUAUACAUUGACAACUUAUUUGUUAAAACUCAUAAGGAUAUUCAACAUUUUGAAUACUUGGAUAAAGCUUUCGAGAUCCUUAGUAAAUAUAAAAUGAAGUUAAAUCCUGUGAAAUGUACAUUUGUAGUAAGAUUAAGAAAGUUUUUAGGAUUUUUAAUAAUCAAAAGGACAUUUAGACUAAUAUCAAGCAAAUUUGAGUUAUACAAAAAUUUCCUUUUCCCACAUUUGUGAAGGAGAUGCAAAAUAUGAUUGGUCGAAUUAUUGCAUUAAGUGAAUUCAUCCUGAAAACUGUUGACAAAUGUCAUUCUUCGUCAAAAUCUUGCAAAAGGGUUGGUAAAUUUGGAUGGGAUAGGCAAUAUAAGAAUGCUUUCAAAUUAACCUCCAAACUUGACCUCUUCAACAUUUGAAUUUUAGCUCAUCCUAUUAAGGAUGAGGAUAUUUAUCGUUACCUUUUCUUUCAAAGGGUAGCUACAAGUGUUGUCCUAAUUAGAUAAUGAAGGUGCUCAACAACUAAUUAGUCAUCCCUUGCUUGAUGUUGAAACACAUUAUUACACAUUUAAAAAGAGUGUCUUGGCUCUACAUAUGGUUACAAAGAAUCUGCCCCCUUAUUUCCUAGCCGACAGCAUACACACAUUAAGUGAUUAAUCUUUUCAAGCAAUCCUUAAUAAGUGAGAUUUCUCUAAAUGACUCAAACAAGUGAAUAAUUUAUCUAGGUCUCUAUGACACUAAAUACAAUCUCGUAGGCCUAUAAGGGUUCAAGCCCUUAUGGAUUUCAUAGUGGAAUUGACACUUAUUAACAAACUUCCUCACCCCUAAAAUAGAGAAGUUUGACAUUUGAAUGUUGAUAAAUUUUCUCAAAAAACAAGGUUAAUAGUUGGAAUUAUGCCUAAAGGAGCUAAUGGUAUUACCUUGGCGUAAUUGAUUAAAUGGGUUAAUAAGGACUCAAAAUAUGAGGUUCCCAUAAAAGGCCUCCAAAUAGCUCGAUAUUUGAUUGUCACUCAUCUCAAGUAUGCAGUGCUAGCUGAUAAUGAAUACCUAGUUAUUUGUCUAUUGUAAAAAAAAAAUAAAAAUCCUUAUCUCCCAUUUCAAGCAAAUACCAAAAGAAAAUAACAAGUAAACAAACGUUUUAGAGAACUUGGAUCAACUUGAACAAAGACAAAAGUAUACCACUAAAUUUCAAAUACAUGGUCAAAUUUAUAUGAUGUUUAUUUCAACGCUCCUUAUUGGAUGAACCUCAUAAUUUUAUAUCUUAAAAUUAAAAAAACUCUUAAAUGACAAGAUGAAAAUAGUUAAAGUACAAUCCUAUUCAACUCUUUAUAUUCAAACUAAAUCAAAUUUAAGUAAAAAGUUGUAAAAUGGGUCAUAUUUUAAGUGCGGAAGACCAUGAAAAAACUUUAUAUGUCUUGAUUGAAAUUCACGAGGGAAUAUACAAGAAUCAUAGAAGAAGAAAGUCUAUGGUUCACCUAGCCUUACCCUUAGGUUGUUACUCUCAACCAUGUCAAACAAUGCCAAAAAUUAUACAAUAAAGUACUACAAAUACCAAAGGUUUGCAUAUGUCUAGCAUGUGCUAAGCGAGAGCAUUCAUCCAAUCACUAGCCACCGUCUCUUUUGCAUAAUGGUGAGUAGAUAUUGUAGGACCCUUACCAAUGCCUCCAACUUAGAAGUGUUACCUACUACUAGUUAUUGCUUACUUAACUAAAUAAAUACAAGUAGAGUUCUACACCACAAUUUAUCGUGAUAUAAAUAAGUUUAUAGAUAAAAAUAUCAUUUUCCAUUUUAAAAUAUCGGGAAUCAUAGUAUUAGAGAAUAUACCCUUCAAAUUUUAAUUAAAGUUAAUAACUAUUUUAUGUAGGGGUCUAAGAAUUUCUACAAAAAAAAAAAAAAAUGAUUUUAUGAUAUUUGAGUUCACAAUAAAAAAUACAGAAGAAAAUUAAAUAUAAGUAAAAUUAAUUAAAAAUUCAUAUUUUCAAAUCAUUUAAUUUUUAUAUAAAAUAAUUAAAAUAAAUAAAACGAGUUUAUAUUAAUAUAUAAAAAUAAUUUAUCAAAUUUAAAAUUAAUUUUACAUGCAUCGGACUAUUUUUUCGCAUUUGAAAUUAUACAUUUCGCUUUAAUUCUAACUGUAAUUUUAAUUUUCAGUUUUAUUCCACGUAGAAAAAGUAUUUCAAUUGACAGCGUGGAGUCAAAUUCAAACCCAUCCAAACAUUAAAACCAACCCCAAGGCGGCUUGAAUGGAUCACGGGUGGUGGCGGUGCCUCCCUAGCCCAAAGACCUUGCAUCCUCCGUGACUGGCGCGCCAGCCAUCAUGCGCUGAGUCCUUUCGCUUUCCGAUUUCAAAACCCCUCUUCAACCAUCCCUUUAUUUUAUUUUCAUUUUUCAAAUAUUAAUAAUAAAAAAUGGGGUAAGUUUCUACAAGUUGGUGUAACUUCUCCAAAGUGCAAGUUUUACCAACUGAUAACUUUUUCCACGCCUUCAACUCUUCAACUCCUCCGUCUAGUAGUUGAUGUAUUAAAUUUAAUUUAAUUUAAUAAGCUUGAUUUCUAUAUUUUAAUUCAUCCUUCAGCUACCAUAGUUGUUGGCUUGUGUUUUUCUUUCUUUCUUACUUAUUUUUUUCUCUCUCUUUCUUGUUGGGUUAUCUUAUCCACAUGGUUUUGGGGCUUUAUGAAUUUUUGCAACCAAAUUAAUAAAUUGGACAAACAAUAUAUCAAUUAGUUUCCUCAUUAAUUUUUCUUUUAAUUUAAAGAACCUUUGAACUUGUUUUAUUUUUAUAUCAGUGUCUUCUAAAAUUUGUCUUCGUGGUUAAGAAAAAAUCAGUUUCCACAUAUUCAUGUAAAAAUAAUAAUAAUUUAAAAAUAAUUAUAAUUCCAUGUUUUUAUGGUUCAAAUAUAAUAAUUACAUUUGAUUAAAAAAAAAUAUUAAAAAUACUAGUCAUUUUUAAACGGGUGCUUAAAAUUUAUACUUUAUAAAUUUAAAUUUCUAGUUUAUAAUUUUUUAUAAGAGUGUAUUAUAAAAACACAUUUUUUCAUAGCAAAAAGAAUUUUAAAUAUUUAUUUUAAAAAAUCAAUAAAUUUAAUUUUUUUUUAUCUUUUAUAGAAAUAAUUUUAUAUUUUAUAUAAAAUUUAUUAAUAUUUUCUUAUUUUAGAAGAUUUUUUAUUUUGGUCAUAAGUUAUUAUUUUGGUUAUACAUAAUAUAUAUAUAUAUAUAUAUAUAUAUAUAUAUAUAUAUAUAUAUUGGUGGUUGGCUUAAUUUUAUAUUUAAAUUUUGUGAUAGAAAAUGAUUUAUAAUUUAUAAUAAUAUUUUAUAUAUAUAUAUAUAUAUUGUGGUGGUUGGCUUAAUUUUAUAUUUAAAUUUUGUGAUAGAAAAUGAUUUAUGAUUUAUAAUUUAUAAUAAUAUUUUUCACAAAAAUUAUAGAAAAAUGUAUAUAGAAUAUAUAUUUAUGAUAAAAAUAGUCUAAAUUUAGAAGCGAAGAUUUUGGCAAGGAUUUUAAAAAAUUCAGAUAGAAAAGAUCAUUUCAAAAGAAGACAAGGGAUUUAUAAAACGGUGUCGUAUUAAAGAAAGUAACAUUUAUUCGCAUUUCCACCGUGGUGCAGGCUGUAGUGCGCAGGGGGUGCGCAGUCUAAAAAAAAGGGAAAAACGCACUGUCAGGUGGCCACCACUGCUAUCUUCCUGGAGUGUACUUCCCACUUCAAUUUUUUUCCAACCAAAAAAUUUCAAAAAAUGGAAAAAAAAGAAAAAAAGAAAUAAAUAAAGAGAAAAAAACGGAUAAACCACCACCCAAAAGCUUCUCUUACUAAAGAAGUGACUUGCAGAAGUUACUCCACUCUCUCUUCCUUGAAACCCUAAAAAAUUAUUCAGGCUAUCCCACUUUCUCUCUCUAUCAUUCUGUCUCUUUCUCUCUCUACACCACUGGUUUCAGUCUGAAUUGUGAAAUGGGGUUGUGCCCUACAAACCUAGGGCACCCUAAGGACAAUGAAGACUAGCCUUAGGAGCUUGCAUUACACAUGGGAAAGGUCGAAGAAGAGCAGCCUCUUCCCUCUGCUAUUGUGGUGUCGGAGCCCUCCGACCAGAAUGUCGGCAGCCGGUGUCGGAUCCGUGGUCGCGUUGGGUUCAGAUGCGUACUGGCGCUGCUUCUGGGCGCUGCCGUUAUGCUCUCUGCGAUAUUCUGGCUUCCGCCCUUCUUGCAGUACGCGGAUCAGAGGGAUCUGGAUCUGGAUUCGAGGUUCCGAGGUGGGGUUUUAAUUUUAGUUGUUUAAUUUUUUGGAUUCGGUGUUGUGGGUUUUGGUUUCUGGGUGUCGGCAUUGUGUGGCAGACAUAGAUCUAGGUUUUUUGUUGGGGUUCGGGGUUAUUUCUGGUUUGUGGGUUUUUGUUGUUGGUAUGUGAUGAUCGUAGUGGAGUCUUUUUUGUUGCUGAGGAAAUGCUGGGGAAGUGAGGACUAGAGGAAAUCUAGUAGCAUUGAAUGGUGUGGUUUAUGUUGUUCUGAUGAAAUGAUAACCGAAGAUGCGCAAAGCAUAUGAUUUAUGGUUUAUGAGUUUUGGUGGUGUUACAGGGUUUGUGGGUUUUGGGUGGUGCUUGUGUUAGAUGACACUGCUGUCCUCUAUUUGGUCUAUGAGAAAAUGUAGGAAAAGACAAGCAAGACGAAUUUCAGUCUUAUGUUUGUAUGAAUUUGUCCGCCGGGAUUUCCUUCAAAUUUAUUGCUGUUGCCAUUCCUUUGGCUGCUGAAACAUUGUCGGAAGAAAAUGGAGUGUUUUCAAUCUUGUGUUCUAUGUUGAAAGUGGAAAACUUACCUCAAUUAACCUGCUGGUUGUGUUCCGCUUAGCUGAAUGAUGGGUUGGCUGCCUCCUUUCCUCACCCCCUUGGAUCCUAAAGAUUGAAAAAAGAAAAAAAUGCUGGAGUUAAUUUUGUAGUUUUCUUUUACACCAUCCUUAGCGACCAACUGGGGCAUUGCCCAGUAUUUAAUUAUAUAAAAUGCUGCUGUUGUUGAUCUUGUUGUUUUAGGAUUUGAAUUUCUGACUCAGCUAAGUUUCAUAUUAUAUUGAUAUAAACUUACUCUUGUCGAGGUAGGAUGGAUGCAAUGGUGGAAGUGUUCAGUGUGAAUUUUAAUAGGCAACAAGGAGAACUUUUCUUGAUAUGAUCAUGACCAUCUUGGGAUUUGGUUAUUAUUCUCAUUUUUCAGUUUGAUUGUUAGCAUAGUAUUCAUUUAUUGUGGAUUAAUUGGUCUACUGGCAUCGGUGUUAAGUGUUACAGUUUUCCAUUUUAGUCAAAGGGAAUAAUUUUUCUUGAUAGGCAAUAUUUUUUCACUUUUUCCCCCUGUGCUGUAAACCUGGAAUGCCCCACAUUCCACUCUACCAUUUAACAUGUGAGUCUGGCCUUAAGGGCAAGUUGCAGUGGAAGUUCAUAUCGGUUAUCUCACAAUGUGGGUGAACUGGAGUUUCAUUCCUUGAAAAGUUACAUUAAAUACUUGACUUUCUCUAAUCUUUUUCCAAGGGGGGUUGAGUAUUCAAAAAAUGACACCCGCAUUUGUCUUUCUACACUAGAGCUAGACUUUGUCUUUUAACUUGUUUACAAAAAUGAGCUAAUUGUUAGUUCUAGAUGUUCAUGGGAUGAUACUAACAGAAAUGCUGACUGAUUCUACAUGGAUUAGAUUGCUUUCUGCAAUUUAUUAGGCUAUUAGCUUCAUCAUAGAGAUUGGAGAGGGUGAGGUAAAAUAUCAAACAUUAAUUGUAUACUUUUCAGGCAUAUGAUUGUGUGUUAUCAUCUUUCAGGAUAGGUUCUUGAUGCUAAUUAUAUGUAAAUUCUAGUAGUGUUCCUGAGUUUCUUGUUGUGGCUACUUGGCAUUGUCUGUAUAUCAUUUUUGUUGCUAUCAUUAUCAGCACCCACUUUUCUUAGGUGGUACUUGAUGCCUGUGAUAAUUAUAGCAUCAAAAUUUAUCAUGCUUGUCAAAUCUUACGCUGUGUGGUGUUCUCUGCCUGUGGUGCUCUUAUGUGGCUGUUGAUGGGUUCUUUGUUGGAAAACAUACACUUUCCCCCUUUGCAAUCUGUCAAUAUUGUUAAAAUGUCUAGUUGGAAAACAUAAAAAAGAUAACAAGUUGAUGAAAACUGAAGAAGUGAAUUCUUCCUUCAUUUGAUGUUUUGAUGCUGUUACUUCAUUUUGAGUAUUUCACUAUCUUUUGCAUUGUCAUUAUUUAAAAUACAUACCAUGCUAUCUUAUUUUUUUGAUAAUAUUAAAAUACCAAUAAAUUCGGAUUAUGGGUUCUGAUUUCUAAGUCACAAGUGUUGUACAUUCUUGAUGCCGUGCACACAGUUCCUAACUUCUGUUAUAGUUGUCCAGUGCUUAAGCAACUGAUAAAGGUUGUUUAUCUAGGUCAUGAUAUAGUAGCAAGUUUCAAAGUUAAGAAGUCAAUUUCUUUGCUGGAAGACUAUCUAUUGCAGCUUGAGAAUGACAUCUUUGUUGAGAUAGAAGGUAUCGAGUCCAAGGUAUCUGCUUUCUCCAUUCCUUUCUGAUUAUGUACUGUUUAUACAUGUGUGUGGAUUUGGACACACAUGCUUCAAUUUUCUGCAUCUAAUUCAUUGUUGAAAUCAGGUGGUUGUUUUAUCUCUAGAACCCUCAGCUGGAACAAACAUAACGAAGGUUGUGUUUGCGGUUGAUCUGGAUGCAAAAUCUUCAAGAAUAUUAACUUCUCAAAGUUUGAUCAGGGAAUUGUUUGAAUCUUUGGUUACGCAACAAUCAUCUCUACGUUUGACUGCAUCUUUGUUUGGGGACCCAUUCACGUUUGAGGUGCUAAAAUUUCCUGGAGGAAUAACAGUAAGCCCUCCACAGAGUGCCUUCCUUCUGCAGAAAGUGCAGAUCCUUUUCAAUUUUACCUUAAACUUCUCUAUCGAACAAAUACUAGAAAAUUUCAAUGAGCUGACCAGCCAGCUGAAGUCGGGUUUACAUCUAGCAUCUUAUGAGGUUUGACAAUACUAUCUCCAUUUCCUGCUAGUCUUUUGAAAGUGUACAUUAGAAUUACUUUUUGUGUGCUUUUUUAUUUUCUGGGUGGGGUGGGUGGGUUUUGAAAUAUUGGCAAUUAAAAAGUUUUGUGAAGGGUAGUGCUUGUUACCUAUAGUCAUAGAGAAGGAUUUGCUGUUCUGUAAUCAGAGCUGCUUCUUUGCUCAUCAAAAGAUGCUCUCAGGUUCAGCAACUCUUAUAGACUCCUUUUUUUUUUUAUAGGUAAACAAAACAAAUACAUGAAAUGCUCUUGGGCUUAUGGAUAUGUAUGAUUUAUGACAUGGAAGUUACACUUUUUAUUUAAUGUAGGCAUCUGGCAGUGAUAAUAUUAAUUUUUAGUAACUGACGGGCAUCAUUAUGUGUGAUGCAGAACUUGUACAUCAGCUUGACGAAUUCAAAGGGUUCAACAGUGUCUCCUCCAACUACGGUUCAGUCAUCUGUUCUACUAGCAGUUGGGAAUACCCCCUCGCUUCCAAGGUUAAAACAGUUGGCUCAAACCAUCACAGGUUCUCAUUCUAGAAACCUUGGCUUGAAUAACACGGUAUUUGGUAGGGUUAAGCAAGUUCGACUUUCAUCUAUUCUACAACAUUCCCUCCAUGGUGGUGCCCCUUCUUCAUCACCUACUCCUGCUCCAGUGCCACAUCCUCACAACCAUCAUCACCACCAUCACCAUCAUCACCACCAUCAUCACAAUGCCCAUAUUGCUCCCACAAUUGCAGCAGCACCUGUGCCUGCAUCUUGGAAAAGUUCUCCUGCACCUGAGAAAAGUUCACCUGCACCUGAGAAAAGUUCACCUGCACCUAAGAAAAGUUCACCUGCACCCAAAAGUUCUCCUGCACCUGAAAGAAGUUCUCCUGCACCUGAAGGAAGUUCUCCUGCACCUGAGAGAAGUUAUGAAGCAAGGCCUCCUGGUUGCCAAAAUGGGCAUAAAAGAAAGUUCACGAGCAAGACCAAAAAGCCAGCUCAAUCAGUCCCUACUGUUGCACCAAGGAUUUCUCCGCACUAUUCUGCGGCCUCACCUCAUCCACAGGUGGGCCCACCUGGGACUGUCACCCAUGCAGUUCCUGCACUAAGUCCUUUGCCAAGCAUAGUUCUAGCUCAUGCUCAGCCCCCAUCAAAAAGUGAAUUUGAUGCAAAGCCUCCAGACAUAAUGCCAUCAUUUCCACCGUCACCAUCCUCAUGUAAGUUUAAAUUUAAAAGAAUGAUUUUAGUUCAGCGCUUUUUCACAUUCACAAGUGCACAUAUAUUAGCUUCUUAUCAAAUCUCACUUGCUUAAGACUUAAUUUUUUCUCAGUAGCCUUUCUUGUGCAUCCAAAAUUGGUAAGGUUUACUAUUAAAUAAGAUGUUUCUCUCAUGCCCAUCAUGCUUAUCAAAUAUUAAACUGAUUGGAGGUUAAGAGUUUAGAAAAAUCAUAUAGGGCUCUAAUAAGAGAUUAAUUUUUAGGGAAAAAUAUGAAUCUAUGGAUUGUAUGGCCACUGAUCUUGUGUUUCAUGCUUUCAAAGAUGAAGUUGAUUGGGGAUUACGUGUCUUCUAAGAAUUUUAUCAUGAUGUUUUUAGAAAGAUGAGACUUUAUUGAUUGGGUGGAUAACUGACAUUUGACUGACUUGGUUUUUAGCAAUUAUGAUGGCAAUGAGGAAAUCUUAUCUAAUGGUAGGCUUUACAAAAUGUGGAUUCAUAUAAACUUAAUAAGCAGUAUAAAGAUCAGAUAGGAAGUUCUAUCCCAGGUGAAAUUGCAAUGUUGGAGAUUAUUUAGAUCUGGGCAAUUUUAUCUUCUGAAAUUGUUGUUCGAGUAUUCCUUUUGUGUAGGGUAUUCAUGGAGUUGUUCAUGUGGCUAUUGUUCAUGUGUUCUUUAAUAAUCUGCUUCUUUCUUACAAGCUCUCUUAUUGCCUGUUGGUUGUUGAAGCAUUAUAUUUGUUUGUUUGAUUGUAUUUGUAGAUAGAUGCUUAAUAAAUGUAGCACUAGUUUCUUUCUUUUGCUUAUCAUGGUCUAGUUAGUGACUUAAACCCUUAAAAUCAAUGCAAUGUUUUGUUUAGAAGUUGUCUUUUGGAUGCCAAUAUGCUGUUUCUUGCAGAUGCUGCAGGUCUUGUUCCUACUGUUCAAUGGGUAUUUCCACUAUUUCUAGCUUUUGUAUUACAUUUGUAACGGCAGAGAAGGAGAAGCGUUAUGCUUCCUAGUUAAAAUAUCUUCUCCAAUAUUCGAUGAAGGACUCGCUUUGUAUCAUUCAAUUCAAAUGAGCGAGAAAAUUGGAGGAGCUUUGCAAGUGGGAGCAACGCAAAAGGGCGUGCCUCACAUCCGAGUGGAUAUAAGGUGUUUUUGUGCAUGUAAAUAUUUCAUCAAAAAAAAAAAUCAGUUGGCUGAUGUGUUUUCAGGUCAAAGUCACAGAGGUGGCAGGCCCUUGAUGACAUGCAUUGCCGCUGUUUUGUGUAUGAUUUUUCUUCUGCAGAAAUGUAAGGGGGAUAAAACUCAACAAAUAUAUGACACUGCCUUUUUGUUUCUCUUUGCCUCCAAGUCCAUCAGGUAUGGUUUCUAACCAUGAAACCUCCGAACUCUGUUUCCUUCACUAAUCUGUUGAACAUUGUGAAACUUUGUGUUGCCGAUAAAUAAGGGAUCUUCAGUGUUCAAAAUGGGGUUGAUAAAACCAAAUUGUUAUAAUUUGUGAGAGAAUGAAUGAUUGGAGGCAGCUUGCAUGAAGCUUCAUUCCAGAGCAUUGUUCUUGAAUACCUUAUUAGAAAAGACUGAUGUCCAGGGGUGGAUGAUUAACGUGCUCCAUUUAGUAGAAGUGUCAUAACCUGCUAACAUCAAGUUUACAAACACUUAUAACCUAGUCUCCCUCCCUCGAAGGGGAAAAAAAAACCCUGAAACAGAAAAUGCUGAUAUGCCUGGAGGUUGCCCAAUGGCUGACUGUAGCAAAGGUUACCUCCAUCCUCGACCUCAGGACCCAACACAAGAUUUAGGACAAAGGGAGCUUAACUAAUGGCACCUGACAAAGAGCAAACAGCUUGAAUGAAAGGGUUCGUUUUGACCAUGAAAGAGUAGAUAAGCCGCGGUACCCUGUCUUUGUUUCUAUUGCAAUGCUAGGAGAAAAUCAAUAGCAGCACCAGAUCAAUUGACUAAGUGCUGAGAAGUAUUGGAAGGUCAUGUUGGGUGGGCUAGCUUACAUCUGCAUCUGGUAUAUAAAAUUGCCCAUAUAAUAUGGCGAUAGUUUUGGUUGGUUGCACCAUCCUUGACCUUGACAACUACAAGCAUGGUAAAAUGAAAUGGAUCCAAAAUAGGGCACCAUGUCUUGCGCAACACAUUUCCUUAACGUAAUUUCAGGAAGUCUGGUCUCCUUGACUUUCAUGGGUAGUGCUUGAAUAUUUAAGCAUCCUCGUACUAAUGGACCAUGCACUUACAAUAUUGUGAAUAUUUUGUAGAAUUUCUCAAGAUGGUUUGAUGAUGGCGUGUAAAGUGUGAAAAGUUGAUUAGGUAAUUCUACUGUAUCAAUUGACUAUUUUGCCUUUUUAAGUAUACAAAUGAGUGCAAGUUUAAAAUUGGUAAAGAGAGUUGAGAAAAGUAGUUCAUGGAUAUCAAAGACAGAAAAUGAUGAGCAGGUAUGAAUUAAGCCAUGGUGGCUUAAAUGCGUUUAAACCUUUAUGCUGUGUUUGGAUCAGGAAAAUGGCAAGGAAAGAGAACAAAUGUCUGG